rnacentral:rRNA from 1 species
GACGAACGCUGGCGGCGUGCUUAACACAUGCAAGUCGAACGGAAAGGCCCUGCUUUUGUGGGGUGCUCGAGUGGCGAACGGGUGAGUAACACGUGAGUAACCUGCCCUUGACUUUGGGAUAACUUCAGGAAACUGGGGCUAAUACCGGAUAGGAGCUCCUGCUGCAUGGUGGGGGUUGGAAAGUUUCGGCGGUUGGGGAUGGACUCGCGGCUUAUCAGCUUGUUGGUGGGGUAGUGGCUUACCAAGGCUUUGACGGGUAGCCGGCCUGAGAGGGUGACCGGCCACAUUGGGACUGAGAUACGGCCCAGACUCCUACGGGAGGCAGCAGUGGGGAAUAUUGCACAAUGGGCGGAAGCCUGAUGCAGCAACGCCGCGUGCGGGAUGACGGCCUUCGGGUUGUAAACCGCUUUCGCCUGUGACGAAGCGUGAGUGACGGUAAUGGGUAAAGAAGCACCGGCUAACUACGUGCCAGCAGCCGCGGUGAUACGUAGGGUGCGAGCGUUGUCCGGAUUUAUUGGGCGUAAAGGGCUCGUAGGUGGUUGAUCGCGUCGGAAGUGUAAUCUUGGGGCUUAACCCUGAGCGUGCUUUCGAUACGGGUUGACUUGAGGAAGGUAGGGGAGAAUGGAAUUCCUGGUGGAGCGGUGGAAUGCGCAGAUAUCAGGAGGAACACCAGUGGCGAAGGCGGUUCUCUGGGCCUUUCCUGACGCAGAGGAGCGAAAGCGUGGGGAGCGAACAGGCUUAGAUACCCUGGUAGUCCACGCUGUAAACGGUGGGUACUAGGUGUGGGGUCCAUUCCACGGGUUCCGUGCCGUAGCUAACGCUUUAAGUACCCCGCCUGGGGAGUACGGCCGCAAGGCUAAAACUCAAAGGAAUUGACGGGGCCCCGCACAAGCGGCGGAGCAUGCGGAUUAAUUCGAUGCAACGCGUAGAACCUUACCUGGGUUUGACAUGGAUCGGGAGUGCUCAGAGAUGGGUGUGCCUCUUUUGGGGUCGGUUCACAGGUGGUGCAUGGCUGUCGUCAGCUCGUGUCGUGAGAUGUUGGGUUAAGUCCCGCAACGAGCGCAACCCUUGUUCACUGUUGCCAGCACGUUAUGGUGGGGACUCAGUGGAGACCGCCGGGGUCAACUCGGAGGAAGGUGGGGAUGACGUCAAGUCAUCAUGCCCCUUAUGUCCAGGGCUUCACGCAUGCUACAAUGGCUGGUACAGAGAGUGGCGAGCCUGUGAGGGUGAGCGAAUCUCGGAAAGCCGGUCUCAGUUCGGAUCGGGGUCUGCAACUCGACCUCAUGAAGUCGGAGUCGCUAGUAAUCGCAGAUCAGCAACGCUGCGGUGAAUACGUUCCCGGG